GCGGAUGUGGUGAAAUUGGUAGACACGCUAGACUUAGGAUCUAGUGCCGCGAGGUGUGUGGGUUCGAGUCCCUCCAUCCGCA
rnacentral:tRNA from 5 species